CCCGGUUGACAGUAACAUUUAUGCAAGCAGUUUUAGUAAAGCAGUUCCCCGUAUUAGCGUUAUCAGACAGAUACCUCUUCUCCGCGAAAUUCCUUCUAAGUGCCCCAUAAGUUGUGCCCAAGCCUAUUCGCUCGCCUAUGGCGGCAAUCAAAAAUAAUUGAAGGAAGUAUCUCUAUGUCUAAUAAAAUGACUGGUUUAGUAAAAUGGUUUAACGCUGACAAAGGUUUUGGUUUCAUCUCUCCUGCUGACGGCAGCAAAGACGUGUUCGUUCACUUCUCUGCCAUCCAGAGCAAUGAUUUCAAAACUUUAGAAGAAGGCCAGAAUGUUGAGUUCUCUAUCGAGAAUGGCGCUAAAGGCCCGGCAGCGGCGAAUGUUGUUGCUCUGUAAGAGUGAAUAACUGAACCUAAUACCCAACUCAUUGGAGUUACAGCUGUAACUUCAAGGACG
rfam:Yersinia mollaretii ATCC 43969 contig01628, whole genome shotgun sequence.